UCUCCUGUUAAUAUUCUUCAAGACAACUCUUCACACCUUCCAUCACCGAUCGAUCAAGGUAAAUAAUCUCUCCAACGACGAUUCUCCUCCGUGUCUCUAUUUCUCCCUCUCUCGAUCCCGAUUCUUCGAUGCGAUUCUCUCCUGAAAGGGAGAAAAAGUUGGAUGGAAUUUGAUCUGAAUCUCCGAAAAAUGCGUUUUAAUCUAGGUAUUCUUCGAUAAUACCAUCUCAUCCGAUUGCUUUCUGUUUGUUUUAUUUCUUACAGGGAUCAUGAAUCGGUGUUGGAUCUAAUUAGUAACAACCAUGGAGGCAGCACCAUCCGUAGAUAACGACCGCAGAGCUCCGUCGUCGAGAAAGAGGAGGAAGCCUGCUU
rnacentral:lncRNA from 1 species